rnacentral:rRNA from 1 species
AUACGGAGGAUGCGAGCGUUAUCCGGAUUCAUUGGGUUUAAAUGGUGCGGCUCAACCGUGCCCUGCCGUUGAAACUGGGUUUCUUGAGAGUGCAAGAGGCGGAUGGAAUUCAUGGUGUAGCGGUGAAAUGCUUAGAUAUCAUGAAGAACUCCGAUUGCGAAGGCAGUCCGCUGGGGCACGUCUGACGCUGAUGCUCGAAGGUGCGGGAAUCAAACAGGAUUAGAUACCCUGGUAGUCCGCACGGUAAACGAUGAUUACCCGCUGUCGGCGGCAGACAGUCGGCGGCCAAGCGAAAGCGAUAAGUAAUCCACCUGGGGAGUACGCCGGCAACGGUGAAACUCAAAUGAAUUGGCGGGG